AUGAACGCUAGCUACAGGCUUAACACAUGCAAGUCGAGGGGCAGCAUGGUCUUAGCUUGCUAAGGCCGAUGGCGACCGGCGCACGGGUGAGUAACACGUAUCCAACCUGCCGUCUACUCUUGGACAGCCUUCUGAAAGGAAGAUUAAUACAAGAUGGCAUCAUGAGUCCGCAUGUUCACAUGAUUAAAGGUAUUCCGGUAGACGAUGGGGAUGCGUUCCAUUAGAUAGUAGGCGGGGUAACGGCCCACCUAGUCUUCGAUGGAUAGGGGUUCUGAGAGGAAGGUCCCCCACAUUGGAACUGAGACACGGUCCAAACUCCUACGGGAGGCAGCAGUGAGGAAUAUUGGUCAAUGGGCGAGAGCCUGAACCAGCCAAGUAGCGUGAAGGAUGACUGCCCUAUGGGUUGUAAACUUCUUUUAUAAAGGAAUAAAGUCGGGUAUGGAUACCCGUUUGCAUGUACUUUAUGAAUAAGGAUCGGCUAACUCCGUGCCAGCAGCCGCGGUAAUACGGAGGAUCCGAGCGUUAUCCGGAUUUAUUGGGUUUAAAGGGAGCGUAGAUGGAUAUUUAAGUCAGUUGUGAAAGUUUGCGGCUCAACCGUAAAAUUGCAGUUGAUACUGGAUAUCUUGAGUGCAGUUGAGGCAGGCGGAAUUCGUGGUGUAGCGGUGAAAUGCUUAGAUAUCACGAAGAACUCCGAUUGCGAAGGCAGCCUGCUAAGCUGCAACUGACAUUGAGGCUCGAAAGUGUGGGUAUCAAACAGGAUUAGAUACCCUGGUAGUCCACACGGUAAACGAUGAAUACUCGCUGUUUGCGAUAUACUGCAAGCGGCCAAGCGAAAGCGUUAAGUAUUCCACCUGGGGAGUACGCCGGCAACGGUGAAACUCAAAGGAAUUGACGGGGGCCCGCACAAGCGGAGGAACAUGUGGUUUAAUUCGAUGAUACGCGAGGAACCUUACCCGGGCUUAAAUUGCAGAUGAAUUACGGUGAAAGCCGUAAGCCGCAAGGCAUCUGUGAAGGUGCUGCAUGGUUGUCGUCAGCUCGUGCCGUGAGGUGUCGGGUUAAGUCCCAUAACGAGCUCAACCCUUGUUGUCAGUUACUAACAGGUUCCGCUGAGGACUCUGACAAGACUGCCAUCGUAAGAUGUGAGGAAGGUGGGGAUGACGUCAAAUCAGCACGGCCCUUACGUCCGGGGCUACACACGUGUUACAAUGGGGGGUACAGAGGGCCGCUACCACGCGAGUGGAUGCCAAUCCCCAAAACCUCUCUCAGUUCGGACUGGAGUCUGCAACCCGACUCCACGAAGCUGGAUUCGCUAGUAAUCGCGCAUCAGCCACGGCGCGGUGAAUACGUUCCCGGGCCUUGUACACACCGCCCGUCAAGCCAUGGGAGCCGGGGGUACCUGAAGUGCGUAACCGCGAGGAGCGCCCUAGGGUAAAACUGGUGACUGGGGCU
rnacentral:rRNA from 1 species